CCGGUGCGGGCCGGUGCGGGCCAGUGCAGGCCAGGCCCGGCCGGGGCGAGGCAGGUGGCCAGGUCCGAGGACCGCGUCGCACAGCAGCUUUCAGGACCUGGAGAGAAAUCGAGAUGAAGAAGGGAAGUCACUUGCUUCAUGGCCAGGGAAGGGCUCCAGCAAGACAUGGGCUCCUGAAAGUGACAGUGUGUGAAGGCCCGGAGAGGCACAGGACCUGUCCCCUCGCCCUCCUUGGAUUGCAGCAAGGAAAGAGGUGUGUCUUCCGCAGAAAAAUGUGCAUGUUCUUUUAGAUGUGUGGCCUCCGAGCAAGGUAUUUAGCCUGCCUCUAUGUGCUCACCUGGAAAAUGGGGUGAUGAAGAAGAUGAUGAUGAUAAUGGGAACUCCCUCUUGGAGCUGCUGUGCAGAUGAAUUUUCCUUCUAACAGUCAGGCCCCUCUGCUGCAAGUCUGCUGGAGUUUUCUGGAGGUCCACUCCAGACCUUGUUUGCCUGGGUAUCACCAGCCGAGGCUGCAGAACAGCAAAGAUUGCUGCCUGUUCCUUCCUUUGGAAGCUUUGUCCCAGGGAGGCACCCACCAGAUGCCAGCUGGAGCUCUUCUGUAUAAGGAAAAGUGGGCAAGUUUUGAGUUCAACGUGAGGCCUCAAGGAUGUGUGCAACCCAUGGUACUUGAAUUUACUUAUUGACUGUUUUUUGGAAAUCCUUAUUUCCCAAAACUCGUGGAAGGAGCUGACUUCUGGCAGGAAACGUGGAACUGGCAGCGUGUCGUGCAAGCAUCUGCAAUCCCAGUCCUGAGCUGGACUUCUCAGAGAGGCUGGGCAUUAUUUAUGGAGAUGUCGGAGUGACAGGGGGAACUUCUGGCCAGGAACUGCCGGUGGUGUCACAUCCUUAACCUGGCUGACAUCGGAACACCCUGGGGGGAGCAUUUCUCCAGGAAAGGAUGGUGGGUCAGGAGCCCGCAUGGUGUCUUUUCAAAGCAAUAAUAAAGAUAUCAGAAGGG
rnacentral:lncRNA from 10 species